GCGUAUCUUUGCUAGAAUCACUGAGUUGAUGUUGUAAUAUUUGGUUUUGAUAAAGUUCCUGUUGUUAACACCAACCAAAACAAAAUACAUGUAAAGUUGAAGUCUCAAAAUGUAACAUAGGACUAUAUUUGGGUGAUAAAAUGUUGCUGUUUCUCUUACCAAAGCUUUAAUACCUUUCAUUCGGAUGGUUUGGAUUGUAUAGUAGUCCAUAUAUAUGUUUAUGNCUCAAAAUGUAACAGAGGACUAUAUUUGGGUGAUAAAAUGUUGUUGUUUCUCUUACCAAAGCUUUAAUACCUUUCAUUCGGAUGGUUUGGAUUGUAUAGUAGUCCAUAUAUAUGUUUAUGUGCUGUGUAACCAAACAUUUGAACAUAUACUUUGUCAUUUUCAUGAAUUAUGGAGUUACAUGAAAACUAAUGACUUGUGAUGUUUGCAGUUGUAGGGUAACCAUACAAAUUAAGGUGCACAACUGCUGCAAGCCUGCAGCCAUGGCUUGCUUGAAUAACUGCUGCACGUCAAAUAAACUAGCUAGUUCGCUUUGUGAUGUUGAACUUGCAAAACAUUGCGUGUUUGUGUUGAAUGAUUAUCUCUUUAUUUCACACUACGUAUUUAAUCUUGGGCAUAGACUGAGCCAAGCCCCGGGUUCGACUCGGUGAUUGUCCAGGUAAUAUCUUGUUUUAGUUAUUAUAUUCAUAUUGUAUAUUGCAUUUUUUUUUUUCAAUUUUUCAUAUAUAAAAUUGUAGCUUCGUCCAUUCAAACUUGUUUGUAACUUUGUAAAUAUAAAAACAUAAUUUGGUCCGUCCAUUUCUAGUCCCGUCUCUAAAUUCUUGGGUGGA
rnacentral:lncRNA from 1 species